rnacentral:rRNA from 1 species
UUAGAGGAAGUAAAAGUCGUAACAAGGUUUCCGUAGGUGAACCUGCGGAAGGAUCAUUACCGCGAGAGGGGGUUACACCUCCCAGGGGCUUCGGCCUCCAACCCUUCACCCUCUGCCUACUUACCUUUGUUGCUUUGGCGGGUCCCGGGCAUCGUCCCGCGCCGGUCAUGGGGCUUUAUUGCCCCGGCCUGUGAGUACCCGCCGGAGACCCGUUACAUUCCGUCUCCUGUGCCGUCCGAGUACAACACCAUAGUCAAAAAACUUUCAACAACGGAUCUCUUGGUUCCAGCAUCGAUGAAGAACGCAGCGAAAUGCGAUAAGUAAUGUGAAUUGCAGAAUUCAGUGAAUCAUCGAAUCUUUGAACGCACAUUGCGCCCCUCGGUAUUCCGGGGGGCAUACCUGUUCGAGCGUCAUUGCACCCCUCAAGCUUGGCUUGGUGUUGGGUCCCCGCCUACAUGGCGAACCCGAAAGUUAUUGGCGGUCCGGCGUAGAUUCCGAGCGUAGUAAAACAAGUGUCUCGCUCCGGGGGUCGAGCUCUGUGGCCGGCUAGAGCCCCACGAUUAUCAAUGAUUGACCUCGGAUCAGGUAGGGAUACCCGCUGAACUUAAGCAUAUCAUAAGC